rnacentral:rRNA from 1 species
GACGAACGCUGGCGGCGUGCUUAACACAUGCAAGUCGAACGGGAGGAAAAAAGAAGCUUGCUUCUUUUUGAAUCUAGUGGCAAACGGGUGAGUAACACGUAAACAACCUGCCUUCAGGAUGGGGACAACAGACGGAAACGACUGCUAAUACCGAAUGUGUUCCGGAGACCGCAUGAUUUCCGGAAGAAAGGAUGGCCUCUAUUUAUAAGCUAUCGCCUGAAGAGGGGUUUGCGUCUGAUUAGGCAGUUGGUGAGGUAACGGCCCACCAAACCUACGAUCAGUAGCCGGUCUGAGAGGAUGAACGGCCACACUGGAACUGAGACACGGUCCAGACUCCUACGGGAGGCAGCAGUGGGGAAUCUUCCGCAAUGGACGAAAGUCUGACGGAGCAACGCCGCGUGAGUGAUGACGGCCUUCGGGUUGUAAAGCUCUGUGAUCGGGGACGAAUGGCUGGUAUGCUAAUACCAUAUCAGAGUGACGGUACCCGAAUAGCAAGCCACGGCUAACUACGUGC